CCCGGGAGGCAGCAGUGGGGAAUAUUGGACAAUGGGGGCAACCCUGAUCCAGCCAUGCCGCGUGUGUGAAGAAGGCCCUCGGGUUGUAAAGCACUUUCAGUGAGGAAGAACGCCUGGUGGUUAAUACCCAUCAGGAAAGACAUCACUCACAGAAGAAGCACCGGCUAACUCCGUGCCAGCAGCCGCGGUAAUACGGAGGGUGCGAGCGUUAAUCGGAAUUACUGGGCGUAAAGCGCGCGUAGGUGGCUUGAUAAGCCGGUUGUGAAAGCCCCGGGCUCAACCUGGGAACGGCAUCCGGAACUGUCAAGCUAGAGUGCAGGAGAGGAAGGUAGAAUUCCCGGUGUAGCGGUGAAAUGCGUAGAGAUCGGGAGGAAUACCAGUGGCGAAGGCGGCCUUCUGGACUGACACUGACACUGAGGUGCGAAAGCGUGGGUAGCAAACAGGAUUAGAUACCCCAGUAGUC
rnacentral:rRNA from 1 species